UUUUUUUCUAUUUGUAGGGAUUGCCGACAUCGUCCCUAACGUUGUCACUGGAAGUUACAUUCCCGAUGUUGGGAAAUAUUGGCAACAAAGGUGAGAAACUUUAGCAAAUUAGACGAAAAUAAAUGAGAGAGAGACAGAUGGAUGGGCGGUGGGUUGUUGGCAACAACAAUGGGUUGUGGGCAGGAAGAGAAAGGGAGAAGGGAGAUGGGAAGGGAGAGCAGUGGGAGGUG